rnacentral:rRNA from 1 species
GACGAACGCUGGCGGCGUGCUUAACACAUGCAAGUCGAACGCUGAAGCUCAGCUUUUGUUGGGUGGAUGAGUGGCGAACGGGUGAGUAACACGUGAGUAACCUGCCUCCUUCUUUGGGAUAACGCCCGGAAACGGGUGCUAAUACUGGAUAUUCACUGGUCUUCGCAUGGGGGUUGGUGGAAAGGGUUUUUCUGGUGGGGGAUGGGCUCGCGGCCUAUCAGCUUGUUGGUGGGGUGAUGGCCUACCAAGGCUUUGACGGGUAGCCGGCCUGAGCGGGUGACCGGUCACAUAGGGACUGAGAUACGGCCCAGACUCCUACGGGAGGCAGCAGUGGGGAAGAUUGCGCAAUGGGCGCAAGCCUGAUGCAGCGACGCCGCGUGAGGGAUGGAGGCCUUCGGGUUGUGAACCUCUUUCGCUCAUGGUCAAGCCGCAACAAUGGUUGUGGUGAGGGUAGUGGGUAAAGAAGCGCCGGCUAACUACGUG